rnacentral:rRNA from 1 species
GAGAGUUUGAUCCUGGCUCAGAUUGAACGCUGGCGGCGUGCCUAACACAUGCAAGUCGAGCGGCAGCAGGCCCGCAAGGGUGCUGGCGAGCGGCGGACGGGUGAGCAAUACAUAGGAAUCUGCCUUAGAGCGGGGGAUAGCCCGGGGAAACCCGGAUUAAUACCGCAUGAUGUCGAAAGACCAAAGUGGGGGACCGCAAGGCCUCACACUCUGAGAUGAGCCUAUGUCCGAUUAGCUAGUUGGCGGGGUAACGGCCCACCAAGGCGACGAUCGGUAGCUGGUCUGAGAGGACGAUCAGCCACACCGGAACUGAGACACGGUCCGGACUCCUACGGGAGGCAGCAGUGGGGAAUAUUGGACAAUGGGCGAAAGCCUGAUCCAGCGACGCCGCGUGGGUGAAGAAGGCCUUCGGGUUGUAAAGCCCUUUAAGCCGGGACGAAAAAAUCGGCGAUAACAUCGCCGGUCUUGACGGUACCGGAAGAAUAAGCACCGGCUAACUCUGUGCCAGCAGCCGCGGUAAUACAGAGGGUGCAAGCGUUAAUCGGAUUUACUGGGCGUAAAGCGUGUGUAGGUGGCCGCGUAAGUCGGUUGUGAAAUCCCUGGGCUUAACCUGGGAAUUGCAGUCGAUACUGCGUGGCUCGAGUUCGGUAGAGGACGGCAGAAUUCCCGGUGUAGCGGUGAAAUGCGUAGAUAUCGGGAGGAAUACCGAUGGCGAAAGCAACCGUCUGGGCCUGAACUGACACUGUGACACGAAAGCGUGGGGGAGCAAACAGGAUUAGAUACCCUGGUAGUCCACGCUGUAAACGAUGGGAACCUGACGUCGGUUUGCUCUGCGAAUCGGUGUCGUAGCUAACGCGCUAAGUUCCCCGCCUGGGGAGUACGGCCACAAGGUUGAAACUCAAAGGAAUUGACGGGGGCCCGCACAAGCGGUGGAGUAUGUGGUUUAAUUCGAUGCAACGCGAAGAACCUUACCAGGGCUUGACAUGUCGCGAACCCUCUUGAAAGGGAGGGGUGCCUACGGGAGCGCGAACACAGGUGGUGCAUGGCUGUCGUCAGCUCGUGUCGUGAGAUGUUGGGUUAAGUCCCGCAACGAGCGCAACCCACGUUUUUAGUUGCCAGCAUUCAGUUGGGCACUCUAGAGAGACUGCCGGUGACAAACCGGAGGAAGGUGUGGAUGACGUCAAGUCAGCAUGCCCCAUACGUCCUGGGCUACACACGUACUACAAUGCUACGGACAGAGAGUUGCCAACCCGCGAGGGCGCGCUAAUCUCGAAAACCGUGGCUCAGUUCAGAUUGCAGGCUGCAACUCGCCUGCAUGAAGGCGGAAUCGCUAGUAAUCGCAGGUCAGCAUACUGCGGUGAAUACGUUCCCGGGCCUUGUACACACCGCCCGUCACACCAUGGGAGUUGGCCACGCCCGAAGUCGUUACUCCAACCGUUCGCGGAGGAGGACGCCGAAGGCAGGGCUGAUGACUGGGGUGAAGUCGUAACAAGGUAGCCGUA